GCGACAUGCAAGCGAAUGAUAUGAGAAGUAGCUUGAGGGUGGAUCUUUGUCCAGGGAGGAGAAGGGUUGAGGGGCUCUUGGAACCUAGAUAUUUGCAGUGGAAGCAGCACUGGGCUCCUUGGCAGAUGACUGCUCUUUGUACUCAGGAUAAAACCCACAUUUGCUGCCCAGCAUCUGAGGCCCUGCCUACCUUGGGGAUGUUGUAAUGUUUUUCUUCCCCCUUAGUUCCAGCCACACUAAGGUUUUGAGCCUGAGAUCACCAGGCUCCCUGAGUCCUUGGCCUGUACCCUCACCUGCAAUGUUGGUUUCCUCAACCCCUCAGAUCUCUUACUUAAUGCCCCUUCCCUUUAAGGUGCCCCUUCACUUAAUUUAAGGGCACCUCCCUUCCUGCUAUCUUUUUAUUUGUGUGCUCUCUUGUUUCCUGUUUCCUGAUUGAGAGUCACCUCCUGGAUGGCAGUUCAGCUCUACUGUGUCCCCAUUGGAGACGCAGGCCCCACUGCCAACCACACAAGAAAUAGGCUCUGAAAUAUUUGUUGGAUCCAUGAAUGGUUGAUUGGCUUUCAUUGGGCUGCUGGGAGGAUUAAAUUAUGAAUGUAUAAAGGUGAUUACAUCUCAUUCCUAUAUACCCAUUACAUUGAUGGAUAAGUAUUAGGUUCUCUCUCCUCUUGCCAGGGACUUUAAGAAGCUGCUGAAGAACCCAAGAGGAAGGUGGGAGCUGUUGAUGGUGUGGAAUUAGAGGCCUGAUGGAGUGGAGAGCUUUCCUCCUCAUCACCUGGGUCAGGACCAUGGAGCUCCUUGAGCCUUGAGAUUCCAGGCCCAGGAGCACAUCAUCAUUGUGCUUCUUGGGGCCCAGGCGCAUCUCCUAAGAACUUGUUCUUAGACAUGUUGUGCUCAAACUUGUGGCAUCAUAGCAGUAAUAGUUUACAAUAUACCUACAGUUUCCUGGGCAGAUCAUCGUGUGCAGACCGGCUGCAGAGAGAAGGGAACUGUUUCACUUUCAUCUUCCUGCCGGCCCAGGGCUGCACUCGGUGACUGCUCUUCGUCAAAUUCCUUCUUAAACAGUGGUCAAGUAUUCUUCCGGUGCAGCUGUUAUUUUCGGGUCCUGUAUUCUGCUUUGUGCUGACCCUGUAAUCUCAGCAGUACCCAUUCGCCUAGCAGGGCUUCGGGAUGCUUCCCCGACUCUCCUCGCACCUUCACACCAACGCACUCCGGGAAUGUUUCUGAUGGGUGUCAAGUCCACUCUCUGAUGAACGGACUCGUGCUUUGAGAGCAUCUUCAGGGUCAGUGCAUCCAGUGACCGUUUCAUGACACCGUUUGCCUCGAGCGCCACCGCCUGGCCAAAACUGGAACGACCUGUGCCCGUUGCUGAGGAGGAAAAACACCCGGGAUGGAAUUUCUAGUUUUUGUGCAAUCCUCAUCCUUUUCCAUUUUCUGUAAAGUGACGAUGACAGAUAUUUUCGCUUACUAAUGCAAGUAUUUUUCAUCUGAAUAAAUAUACCAAUUUCUCUGGCAAUAA
ensembl:lncRNA LINC00114 long intergenic non-protein coding RNA 114